rnacentral:rRNA from 1 species
UACGAAGGGGGCUAGCGUUGCUCGGAUUGACUGGGCGUAAAGGGCGCGUAGGCGGUUCGUACAGUCAGACGUGAAAUUCCUGGGCUCAACCUGGGGCUGCGUUUGAUACGUGCGGACUUGAGUGCGGAAGAGGGUCGUGGAAUUCCCAGUGUAGAGGUGAAAUUCGUAGAUAUUGGGAAGAACACCGGUGGCGAAGGCGGCGACCUGGUCCGAUACUGAGCUGAGGCGCGAAAGCGUGGGGAGCAAACAGG